rnacentral:rRNA from 1 species
GAUGAACGCUGGCGGCGUGCCUAAUACAUGCAAGUCGAGCGAACGGACGAGAAGCUUGCUUCUCUGAUGUUAGCGGCGGACGGGUGAGUAACACGUGGAUAACCUACCUAUAAGACUGGGAUAACUUCGGGAAACCGGAGCUAAUACCGGAUAAUAUUUUGAACCGCAUGGUUCAAAAGUGAAAGACGGUCUUGCUGUCACUUAUAGAUGGAUCCGCGCUGCAUUAGCUAGUUGGUAAGGUAACGGCUUACCAAGGCAACGAUGCAUAGCCGACCUGAGAGGGUGAUCGGCCACACUGGAACUGAGACACGGUCCAGACUCCUACGGGAGGCAGCAGUAGGGAAUCUUCCCCAUGGGCGAAAACUGACGGAGCACGCCGCGUGAGUGAUGAAGGUCUUCGGAUCGUAAAACUCUGUUAUUAGGGAAGAACAUAUGUGUUAGUAACUGUGCACAUCUGACCGUACUAUCAGAAAUGCCCCGGCUAACUACGGCCAGCAGCCCCGGUAAUACGUAGUCGGCAAGCGUAUCUAGAACUAUAGGGCGUAAAGCACGCGUAGGCGGUUUUUUAAGUCUGAUGUGAAAGCCCACGGCUCAUUCGUGGAGGGUCAUUGGAAACUGGAAAACUUGAGUGCAGAAGAGGAAAGUGGAAUUCCAUGUGUAGCGGUGAAAUGCGCAGAGAUAUGGAGGAACACCAGUGGCGAAGGCGACUUUCUGGUCUGUAACUGACGCUGAUGUGCGAAAGCGUGGGGAUCAAACAGGAUUAGAUACCCUGGUAGUCCACGCCGUAAACGAUGAGUGCUAAGUGUUAGGGGGUUUCCGCCCCUUAGUGCUGCAGCUAACGCAUUAAGCACUCCGCCUGGGGAGUACGACCGCAAGGUUGAAACUCAAAGGAAUUGACGGGGACCCGCACAAGCGGUGGAGCAUGUGGUUUAAUUCGAAGCAACGCGAAGAACCUUACCAAAUCUUGACAUCCUUUGACAACUCUAGAGAUAGAGCCUUCCCCUUCGGGGGACAAAGUGACAGGUGGUGCAUGGUUGUCGUCAGCUCGUGUCGUGAGAUGUUGGGUUAAGUCCCGCAACGAGCGCAACCCUUAAGCUUAGUUGCCAUCAUUAAGUUGGGCACUCUAAGUUGACUGCCGGUGACAAACCGGAGGAAGGUGGGGAUGACGUCAAAUCGUCAUGCCCCUUAUGAUUUGGGCUACACACGUGCUACAAUGGACAAUACAAAGGGCAGCGAAACCGUGAGGUCAAGCAAAUCCCAUAAAGUUGUUCUCAGUUCGGAUUGUAGUCUGCAACUCGACUACAUGAAGGCUGGAAUCGGUAGUAAUCGUAGAUCAGCAUGCUACGGGGAAUACGUUUCCCGGGCUU